UACGUAGGGUGCAAGCGUUGUCCGGAAUUAUUGGGCGUAAAGAGCUCGUAGGCGGUCUGUCGCGUCUGCUGUGAAAAACUCAGGGCUUAACCCUGAGCUUGCAGUGGGUACGGGCAGACUAGAGUGCGGUAGGGGAGACUGGAAUUCCUGGUGUAGCGGUGAAAUGCGCAGAUAUCAGGAGGAACACCGGUGGCGAAGGCGGGUCUCUGGGCCGAUACUGACGCUGGAGGAGCGAAAGCGUGGGGAGCGAACAGG
rnacentral:rRNA from 1 species